UCUCGUCAAAGGCGAGAUCACGCGAGAGUUGGUGAGGGUCGUGCCGUGCCUGGCUGUGGGGAGAUACCGUCUUUGUUUUUUCGGCUUUAUCCUGAGUGCUGGGUGAUUACCAAAGAUCAGACGACGAUGAGUGAAGAUAACACCGAGAUGAAGGGAGAUGCAGAGGUGGAUUUGAUGGAAGAAUUACUGGACUCUGCAGAGAAUUUUGAUGAUGAACUGAAUGAUGUUGCUGAUGACAAAACCAAUAAACGUCGUAAAAAAGCAGUUGAAACAACCAAAGAUGCAGCAGGAAAGAUGAAAAAAGAGGAGAGCAAGGAAGCUGCAAUCAAAAGAGCCAAAUUAAAGGAGAAACAGGAAGCUAUUCGAAUGAAGCGAGAGAACAAGAAGAAAACCAAACCCGUCAAGAAAGAAAAUGAGGGUGAAGAGGGAGACAAAGUUAUCGAGGGUGAUGGAGAUAUGGAGUUUGACACACGAAGUGAAGCUUCUUCUGACCAUAAACUUUCUGAUGAUGAACCAUCUAUGAGUGAUGCCUCCAGGACAUCCUCCAUUUCUAGGGAAUCAUCAGUUGAGAAAGAUGACAUGGAGAAGGAAGAAAUUAGGAACCGAAAACGCAGUGCUUCCGAGACUUCUCUGAAGAGUGCAGAUGAUCCAAUGAAGACUUUGAAAGAACAUCCAGUGAAGAAGAAAUAUGACUACAUAACAAAAAUAAACUACAUGUUCCGAGAUGCAAGAUUCUUUCUAAUGAAAUCCAACAAUGCUGAUAACAUUUCUCUUUCAAAGACUAAAGGAGUGUGGUCCACUCCACCUCAAAAUGAAGCAAAAUUAAAUCAAGCUUUCCGUGAAGCCAGGAAUGUCAUCCUAAUAUUUUCCAUCAAAGAGAGUGGGCGAUUCUGUGGAUUUGCAAGACUAGCUGGGGAAUCUCGCAGGGACUUGCCACCUGUGACAUGGGUCUUACCUCCAGGACUUUCUGCACGGGCUCUUGGUGGAAUAUUUGAGCUUGAUUGGGUAUCCAGGAGAGAUUUAUCCUUCACCAAGACUCAACACCUUUAUAAUCCCUGGAAUGAAGGCAAACCAGUAAAGAUUGGCAGAGAUGGUCAGGAAAUAGAGCCCCGUGUAGCAGAGGAGCUGUGUCGGUUAUUUCCUAAAGAUGAAGGAAUAAAUCUCACGCCAGUUUUGCACAAAAGUAAACGUGCUUCAAGAGUGGCCCGUGCCAGAGGUCCACUUCGUCGGCCACUACAGUCACCCGGAGACCGCAGAGGCCGCCCUAGAGAACGUGGAAGCUUCAGAGGCCGUGGGGACGUUGGCUUCAGGUGCGUCACUUCCACCAGGGUUGAGUCUCGAAAAGGAGAGGCCUGCAUUUUGUCAAAACUGUCACUGAUACCUACACAUGUGGAACUUCAGCACACAUUUCAACUAGAGAAGCAGACAUUAUUACUCUUGACAACAUUAUUCCUUCAAUCUUAUCUUAUGCUUAUUUACCAACAAAUACUCACUUCAUUUGCUAACACUGAUUCAUAUAUUUUGAAUCUCACUCCUGAACACAUUGAUUUUCUAAUACAAAACACAACACAUAAACUGCUUGCAAACCCUGGUUGAAAAUGUGAUGCUGAAGUACAUAGUGACAAUGUUACUUGUGUAACAGUGGCAGUAAGCAAAUCAGGACCUACUCUGGCUCCAACAGUGCAGUAAUGAGGACUUACUAUCUGUUCCGGGGUGGUGGUGUGCCGCAACCACUACUGCUGGUAUGAGGGUAAUAGUGUGAGACAGUGGUCCAGCCCCACUCACUCACUCCGUGUCUUGUCACCGCUCUGUCUCUCAUCCCGGUGCUGAGGACUUCUAUCCUCUCACAGGACUCUGUCCCUUUUCUCUCUCACACAACCUGGCUAGUGAGUGACACACCCAGCACACAAACAUACCAGUGCAGUGCGUAUCUCAUCAGUUCUUGCAUAACACCAGUCAUGAAGAACUUGGUUACUUGGUUCUAAAGUGCAGACAUAGACUAGGAAUUCUUUUGAUAAUUAGAACUUAAAAAGGUAGACGAAGCUGGUAAAUAUUUACACCCUGUGGACUUACCUAUCAGUAUAUAUUGAGGGACUCCUACCAGUAGUUGUAUAUGGACUUUGUGUGAAGUAGUGAGUGGUUGGCUCAAGUCCACGUACCAGCAGUAGGUGACACUCACUAGCAGGUUGACACAGAGCCAGGCCCAAGCAUAUGGACUCGGCUUAGCUGUAAGGUAAUGGUCAUAAACAUUUUGGUAAGGUAGUAUCUUGCAUGGACUUGAUCAAGCAUUCAGGACUAAGUGUGCCAUAAAGUUUACCACAGAGAUUUUAGGCGGCUAAAGCCCAGUACUGAUUUGUUGAGAUGAAAGAGAAUCAUUGCCUGGCUAAUGAAAUAGUGAAGGGGAUGAUUAGUGAGUGAGAAGUGAAUAGUGAAAGUGAUAAGUGAUCAAAGUGAAAUAAGUGAAAUCGGUGCAUUAUAUUACGUUGCGUUCAAGACAACAAGACGGCAAAUCCCUGCCAUCCAUUCUUAUCCUCUCCUACCAUCUUCACAACACAACAUCUUCAAGUGAAUUGUUGGUUUGAAACGACUACCAACAUUAAUAAUGAACUCCAGGCAUGGAAAGGGAUGGGGUUGUUCUCACCCAUUCUAGCCAUACGGGUGAGGAAGGGAAAGGGGAUGUUAACACCAUGGCUGUUAGCCUUUUCACCAGGGGCUGACAAGGCUAAGAGUAUGAAUGAUGUGCAUGGCUGUAUGGUGGUAUGGAGUUAGUAUGUAGAUAAUUAUUGUCAAUGUAGCCAUAAAUAGACAAGUCAAAGAAUGAUAUAGAAAUGAUCUACAUGAGGCAAUAUCAGUUUCAAAGGAUGGGUGAAAAAAUAGCCAUUUAUCAGAGUAAAAAAAUAUUCUUUCCAUUCUUAAAUGGAUAUAUAUUUUUAGGUUUCACAACGAAUUAAAGCAGGUCAUCUUUGUGAAAAGGAUAUUUACUCCAUUCUUUGGUUAUAGAUUUGUAACCUUCACAAUUUAGUUAUAAGUGAAGUGCUCAUUUUGGUUGUACAUACAGUAGAUGAAACAAAGUUUCUAAAAAAUGGAGUAUAUUAAACCAAAAUGCCACAUUUUUACUUCAUGCAAAUCUGUCGAAAUGAGAUUGCUGAAAAGUUUAUGGAUAGUAGUGUAAAAGAACCAAUAAUGCAAUGAAGUUCAAGAAUAAUGUCUGAAUUUGGAAGUAAGUACUUGCCCUAAUUGAAUACAUUCUGUAGGAACUUUAUGUAGAACUCUGCAGUAGAGAUAAAUUGUUGUGAGUAAUACUUAAGAUAUAGCAAUGAAAUAAAAUUUGAAAAAUAAUGCAGUGUCAUUAAAUAAGUCUUUCAACAUGGGGGAUAUGCUCAUAAAAGUAUAAAAUUUGUCAUUUGAUUUAUUUUUAUUAAUAGUGUGGUGAUUAAACAUGAAAGAUGUCUUUUAAAGUUUAUAUACUUACUCAUUAUUGCUGCUAAUUAGAAGAAUGUCAUUGGGCAGUUGUGGAUAAGAAGUGGCCAAGUAGUCAAAAUUCAUAAGUCAUGAAUUUGAGAUCUUGAAUGUCACUCGUGCUGGAACCUGGCUAUUUUGACUUCAAAUGGCUAAAGAUAAUGCACAUGCUGCCAUCAUCCCGGCCUUUGUGAGUGCUCUGAGGACUAAGAAGCAGCAAGAAUCUCUACAGGUCAUUCUAGUCUCCAUUUGUGGAUAAAGGUUGACCAUCUAAUCCUGCAUCCAAUCUUCAGAAGAAUGAGUUUAUAGGCAGACGAUCCAGGCCUCAGUAAGCAAAUUUUGUUAUUUCACAUUUUAUAGUGCUCAUAUCUGUGACUUUGUGCUUAAUCAAAGGAAUGGGGUACAAUCAACCAUCAGUUGCUGUGUUUGUGUUGUUAUGAGUGAAUCUGUAUAUAACUUGAAGCAGAUGAUGCUGCAAUUAUAUAAAGGUUAUAAAGUAGGUCUUAAGUUGAAUGCAAAGAAAAUUAUGUUAUGUGGUUAUGUAUUAGAUCUCAAAAUUACUUAGUAAAGCAUUUGCAGUUAAUGUGAAGAAAAGAGAAGGUAACAUCAUGGAGAAGUUAUAAAUAUAUUGGCUACAAUUCUU
rnacentral:misc_RNA from 1 species